rnacentral:rRNA from 1 species
GAGUUUGAUCAUGGCUCAGAUUGAACGCUGGCGGCAUGCCUUACACAUGCAAGUCGAACGGCAGCACGGGAGCUUGCUCCUAGUGGCGAGUGGCGAACGGGUGAGUAAUGCAUCGGAACGUAUCCUGGAGUGGGGGAUAACGUAGCGAAAGUUACGCUAAUACCGCAUAUUCUGUGAGCAGGAAAGCGGGGGACCUUCGGGCCUCGCGCUCUUGGAGCGGCCGAUGUCGGAUUAGCUAGUUGGUGAGGUAAAGGCUCACCAAGGCGACGAUCCGUAGCAGGUCUGAGAGGAUGAUCUGCCACACUGGAACUGAGACACGGUCCAGACUCCUACGGGAGGCAGCAGUGGGGAAUUUUGGACAAUGGGGGCAACCCUGAUCCAGCCAUGCCGCGUGAGUGAAGAAGGCCUCGG